rnacentral:lncRNA from 1 species
GCUCCUGGGGAGGCCUUGGGAGCUUCCACUCAUGGCAGAGGUGAAGGGGAGCCUGCUUGUGCAGAGGUCACACAGUGACAGAGGGAAUGAGAGAGAGGGGGAAGGUGCCAAGGCCUUCUAAAGAGCAAUGGUAGAACUCAGCUGGCAAAGGAGCAGUAACAUGCCCUCCAUUCCGCCUGAAAACCACCUCCUGCCCACAUGACCUCUCUCCUCAGCCAAGCUACCAACCAAGGGCAAGAGUAAAAUAAAGACACCUGCAGAUGUCAGAAAGCUGGCAGAGCAUGGCUGGAUUCUCUGCUCGAGGUCUCACAUGCCCAAAAUCAAGGUAUUGGCCGGCUGGGCUCUUGUGUGGAGGCUCUGGGGAAGAACCAUUCAGGCUGUGGACAGAAGACAGCUCCUUGUGGCUAUAGGACUGAGAGCCCUGCUUCCCGCCACCGGCCCUUCAAGCACAAGCCCUCCAGGCCUCAAAUCUCUCUGCCUUCCUCUUCUGCUUGUAAAGGCGCAUGUGAUUUCACUGGACCCACUUUCAAAACCCAGGAUAACUUCCCUAUUUUAAAGUCCAUUUACCUUAAUUAAUCUGCACAGCCACUUUGCCAUGUAAAGUAACAUAUUCGUGGGCAUGAAACCAGGGGGUGAAGGUCAUGUGGCUUUGAGAGCAGCACUCUCGGUGACACAUACUCAAUUCUGCUCCUCCAGUGCAAAAGCAGC